rnacentral:rRNA from 1 species
GAUGAACGCUAGCGGCAGGCUUAACACAUGCAAGUCGAGGGGCAGCAUAAAUAGUAGCAAUACUAUUGGUGGCGACCGGCGGACGGGUGCGUAACGCGUAUACAACCUUCCCUAAACAGGGGGAUAAUCUGGAGAAAUUCGGUCUAAUACCCCAUAACAUCAGAGCAGGCAUCUGUUUUGGUUAAAAUUUCCGGAGGUUUAGGAUGGGUAUGCGUAGCAUUAGCUAGUUGGUGAGGUAACGGCUCACCAAGGCGACGAUGCGUAGGGGGACUGAGAGGUUAACCCCCCACACUGGUACUGAGACACGGACCAGACUCCUACGGGAGGCAGCAGUGAGGAAUAUUGGUCAAUGGGCGGAAGCCUGAACCAGCCAUGCCGCGUGCAGGAUGACGGCUCUAUGAGUUGUAAACUGCUUUUGUACGAGGGUAAAGUGGGCUACGUGUAGCCUUUUGAAGGUAUCGUACGAAUAAGGAUCGGCUAACUCCGUGCCAGCCGCCGCGGUAA